UGCCCUCCGGCCGCAGUACGCAGGCGCACGCCUAGACCUCGGCUCUUCACCUCUGUCCCUGCCCAGGGGCGGGCUUUUGGAAUUUAGGCUGGGACGGUGCGGACAUCUGGAAACUAGUCACAUGUCUGGGCGAAGGGUAUUAAUAAAUUAACCGGGAUUGGUGCCCUGUGGCUGCCCCUAUUGGCAAGAUACAAAGAACAAACCGUUCAUCCUUGACCAGAUCUUCAUUGUCGUGUGUGGGAUCUUUAGUUGUGGCACAUGGGACCUAGUUUGCCAAGCAGGGAUUGCACUUGUGCCCCAUGCAUUGGGAGCUUGGAGUCUUAACCACUGGACCACCAGGAACUAAAACUGAAAAAGACACGUGUACGCCAAUGUUCCUUGCAGCACUGUUUACAAUGGCCAAGACAUGGAGGCAACCUAGAUGUCCAUUGACCAAUGAAUGGAUAAAGAAACUGUGGUACAUAUAUACAAUGGAAUACUACUCAGUCAUAAAAAGGAACACAUAUGAGUCAAGACUAAUG